rnacentral:rRNA from 1 species
AUACGGAGGGUGCGAGCGUUAAUCGGAAUUACUGGGCGUAAAGCGCGCGUAGGCGGCUUGGUCAGUCGGAUGUGAAAGCCACGGGCUUAACCUGGGAACUGCAUUCGAUACUGCCAGGCUAGAGUAUGGUAGAGGGAAGCGGAAUUUCCGGUGUAGCGGUGAAAUGCGUAGAUAUCGGAAGGAACACCAGUGGCGAAGGCGGCUUCCUGGACCAAUACUGACGCUGAGGUGCGAAAGCGUGGGGAGCAAACAGGAUUAGAAACCCUAGUAGUCC